rnacentral:tRNA from 1 species
AUCUCAGAAGCUCAUCGGUAGAGCGGCCUUAUGACCUGUGGCGGCGAGCGGCGGCCUGGUUGAUAGCCAGGUGUCACGUACCGCCGGCGCCUGGACUUAUCACCCAGGUGCGAGCUGGUUCAAUUCCAGCCUGAGAUG